UGAAUGUUUGCUCUACUGACAGCUAAAAAAGAAAUAAAUAAAAGGAAACAAAAAAAAAGAAAGAAAAUGAAAAAAUACUGUAAUGCAAAAGGAGAGUCGUCGUCCUCAUCUCGCUCUCUCGCUCUCUCUUCUCCCAAUCUCGCUCUCUUCUCUCAAUCUCUCUCAACCUCACUCAAUCGCCCUCAAUGAAAUCUCUCUCUGCUCUCGAAAACGCUCAUCAACACUCACAAUCUCACUCACACCAAACCUCACAUUUCUCUCACCAAAAUCCUCUUUCAAUCGCGUCUCUCCUCACAUCCUCAACCUCAUUCCCAAAUGCGCAAUACCCACAGCUUU
rnacentral:lncRNA from 1 species